rnacentral:rRNA from 1 species
UACGGGGGGGAGCAAGCGUUGUUCGGAUUUACUGGGCGUAAAGGGCGCGUAGGCGGCGUGACAAGUCACUUGUGAAAUCUCCGGGCUUAACUCGGAACGGUCAAGUGAUACUGUCGUGCUAGAGUACAGAAGGGGCAACUGGAAUUCUCGGUGUAGCGGUGAAAUGCGUAGAUAUCGAGAGGAACACCUGCGGCGAAGGCGGGUUGCUGGGCUGAUACUGACGCUGAGGCGCGAAAGCUAGGGGAGCGAACGGGG